GUUCAGCAUGGCCCCAGGAACACAAUAACCACACUUGAGCUAGUGCUCAAAAUGCUGUGUAGAUGAUGGGGAUUAUUCCUUUGCUAAUGCUCUUAAGAGCUAUUCCGGAGUCUGAAGGAGAUGAAGGGGCUUAUUAUUGCAAAAUUAAUAUCCUGCAGGGGAGGGAUUUCAGUGCCAUUCACCACACCCUGCUUUCUGGUGGCAGUGGGCUGUGCAGAAAUGGGAGCUGGGCACUAUGCUGCAUGGGGCUCAGGCAAGGAGUAUGUCCGUGUCCUGGCUUGGAGAGCCCUUUCCUGGCUGGAAAGAGGGAUGAAAAGGCUGCAGCCUCGGGGUCUUGGCUGGAGUCCUCCAGCUUCCCAGCAGAGCAGAACAUGGAUGGAUGGGUGGAUGGGGGGGUGAUCUCCACCACAGCAGCCUGUGAAGCAGAGCACAGCUACCAAAGCCAGCUCAGAGGCCCUUCGCACCUACUUUCAAGGUCUCUGCAGGUUGAUGGGGAUUUCUACGUAGGGAGAUUUCUACGCUGUGCCCGAGCAGCGUUUUUCCCUACCUCCUGUGCACCUUUGAACCUUUCAAAUCCCCCUCUCUGCAAAAAUACCCCCCCUGUGCCCCAUCUCCCCUCGUUGUGGUGCUCUCAGUCAGAUGAAGCAACAUCUCCCUUCCCUCAGCACAGGCAGCCAAGCAGAGGUGUGUUGCCAUCAGGACAGCACUAUAAAACUGAGAUGUCUCCUUUAAUCUCCUGUAGGUGUCUUUUCCAUCCAGGCUCAGCCCACACUGUCAUAAUGAUCUCCUGAUAUUGGCACAGCCACCAUGAGCUCUGCGGUUUGUUAUUGUGCUGCUGUGACACCGAAAAACACCAACUCUGGAGAAGAAUGGCAACUUUUCUUCUGCCUUGAGAGACAAGAAUAUCUGGAGGGGUUUCUCUGGAGGACCUCAGGAAAGUGGCAACAGGGAGGCAGAUGUGUGCCUCAGCACUUCAGUUAUAUACAUGUGUUGAGUCCUUUGGAUGAGAAAAGACAACCAUGAGAUGUGGAAAGGGGAACAGUGAGCACAAAGGCAUCCUGAUGUAAACUUUGCUGUACAUCCUGAUGUAAACUUUGCUGUACAUCCUAAGUGCACUGCAGUGUGUUGCGUUGGUUGAACUUACGUGAUGAGAUCCUGUUGUCAUAGGAAAUACUGUUUGCAGUCCAAAACUAAAAGCAUUGCAUUCAUCCAGUUCCAUUAGUGAGCAAAGAAGAACUUCUCUGCAGAAGCUGAACUUCCACAAUCAAACACAAAAGUAGUAAUUUCAAGCCAAUGAACAUGGGUGAUCCUAUUUGCUUGCAGAAGGUUCCACAGACAGAAAGGUAUAGAGGUAUUUUGUGACUAAAUUACUUAUUGCUUGGUCAUUUGCUUAGCAGUGUUGCUAACCAACCAGGGCUACCUUUGUAGAAGCUAGGAAGAUGUUGCCAACAUUUUUGGCACAAGGUCUCCAUGUUAGUUCUGUUCUAUACUGUACUGCUUUUAUUUCAUACCCUACGUUCCCUCUGAACCCAUGUUUUCACAGCUCCAGUAGCUGGGACUUAGUGCAAGAAGUUGGUAAUAACACCGUGGAUGAACCUGCCCUCUCAGCAAGGGGAUUGAUGUGAAUCACCAAGUCUGCAUCUCCCUGGGUCAUGAGUGUACAGCCCUGCAUGGAGGGACUCGUCUUACUCAACUUCAGAAACCUUUUUCCAUGCUAAUCAUCUUGGUUGUUUCAUAGUUCAGGAAAGUAACAGGUCUUGCAUGUAUGUAGCAGGCACUUGCCUCAUCUGUAUCUUCCCAUAGAGUCUUGUAGGUCUCCUUGCUGGUGCCACCUUAUCUGCAGUUUACUGGGGAUACUGCAACAGUGUGUUCUCCCCUCCCUCCUUUCGUUCUCCCAACUUCAUCCUUCAGCCUGGCUUUGCACACAAGGCCUCACACAGGACGACAAUGAGCAACAGUACUGAUAACACUCUUGCUAAAACAGAUUAACUGCCUCAAAUCUGUCCCGAACUGGGGGACUGAAAGAACUGAUAGCAGGCA
ensembl:lncRNA